rnacentral:rRNA from 1 species
AUUGAACGCUGGCGGCAGGCUUAACACAUGCAAGUCGAGCGGGGUGAUGGUGCUUGCACUAUCACUUAGCGGCGGACGGGUGAGUAAUGCUUAGGAAUCUGCCUAUUAGUGGGGGACAACAUCUCGAAAGGGAUGCUAAUACCGCAUACGUCCUACGGGAGAAAGCAGGGGAUCACUUGUGACCUUGCGCUAAUAGAUGAGCCUAAGUCGGAUUAGCUAGUUGGUGGGGUAAAGGCCUACCAAGGCGACGAUCUGUAGCGGGUCUGAGGGGAUGAUCGGCCACACUGGGACUGAGACACGGCCCAGACUCCUACGGGAGGCAGCAGUGGGGAAUAUUGGACAAUGGGGGGAACCCUGAUCCAGCCAUGCCGCGUGUGUGAAGAAGGCCUUAUGGUUGUAAAGCACUUUAAGCGAGGAGGAGGCUCUUUUGGUUAAUACCCAAGAUGAGUGGACGUUACUCGCAGAAUAAGCACCGGCUAACUCUGUGCCAGCCGCCGCAGUAA